rnacentral:hammerhead_ribozyme from 1 species
AUCCAACUGACGAGUUCCAAAUAGGACGAAACGCGCGUUCUGGAU